GAGAGAGGCUCGCAGCAGCGAAGACUGCUAAUCUGCGCGUCUUUGGUUGGACUCCAAGGCUCACUCG
rnacentral:tRNA from 1 species